UACGAAGGGUGCAAGCGUUACUCGGAAUUACUGGGCGUAAAGCGUGCGUAGGUGGUUCGUUAAGUCUGUCGUGAAAGCCCCGGGCUCAACCUGGGGAAUGGCGAUGGAUACUGGCGAGCUAGAGUGCGGUAGAGGAGAGUGGAAGUCCCGGUGUAGCAGUGAAAUGCGUAGAGAUCGGGAGGAACAUCAGUUGCGGAAGGCGACUAUCUGGCUUUAACUGACGCUGAGGCGCGAAGGCCGGGGGAGCAAACAGG
rnacentral:rRNA from 1 species